rnacentral:tRNA from 1 species
AGCGCGGUGGAGCAGCUCGGCAGCUCGCUAGGCUCAUAACCUAGAGGUCGCGGGUUCAAAUCCCGCUCGCGCAACCA